ACUGAGCGGCGGACGGGUGAGUAACGCGUGGGUAACCUGCCUCAUACAGGGGGAUAACAGUUGGAAACGGCUGCUAAUACCGCAUAAGCGCACAGUACCGCAUGGUACGGUGUGAAAAACUCCGGUGGUAUGAGACGGACCCGCGUCUGAUUAGGUAGUUGGUGGGGUAACGGCCUACCAAGCCGACGAUCAGUAGCCGACCUGAGAGGGUGACCGGCCACAUUGGGACUGAGACACGGCCCAA
rnacentral:rRNA from 1 species